rnacentral:rRNA from 1 species
GGGUCAGUAGGUUGGUCGUGCCACCGGUACGUACUGGCCUCACUGAUUCCUCCUUCCUGAAGAACCGUAAUGCCAUUAAUUUGGUGUUGCGGGGAAACAGGACUGUCACUUUGAAAAAAUUAGAGUGUUUAAAGCAAGCUAACGCUUGAAUACAUUAGCAUGGAAUAAUGAAAUAGGACGAUCGAUCCUAUUUUGUUGGUUUCUAGGAUUGACGUA